rnacentral:hammerhead_ribozyme from 1 species
AUCUAGCUGACGAGUCUCAAAUAAGACAAAACGCACGGCUUAGAU